rnacentral:lncRNA from 1 species
UAUUUCUCCCUUUGCUAGCCGUUUAGGAUAGGGGGAGGCUUUGUAUCUUGGUUGGCUGUAUAGGUUAUAGUUUGAACUUGUUACGGUAGAUAAAAAAUUUCUAUGGAGGAUUUCUUCUUUAUAUUGUAAUGGGGGAUUACUCGGAUGCCUGCAUAUCAUAUUUGUCCUUUUGAAAUGUUAUUAAUCUGUUUUUUUGUUUUUCUCGCUUAUCAUGCAAAUCCUUUUAUAUGCAUUUCUCUUUUAGAGGUAAGAGGACAAGGUUGGUUCUGUAAAAAUUUUUAAUGCUUAGGAGACUACGGUUGCAUGAGUAGCUCAGUGUCUUCGCCUUCCGCAGGGAAGGUCUUUAGCUCUAAUGAUUAAAGCGAUGUGUAUGAUUGAUUUUCUCCCACUACCUUUGAAGUCUUGUUUUGAGGAUCUAUUCUUUCUACGGAGAGAAAUUUGGGGAAUAAGUAAGGGAUGUUGACGAAUGGUUGUUUUGUCAAAAAAAAAAAAAAUGGUUUGUUAAAACACUAGUUUGACAACGAAACAAAUUGAAUUUUAUUUGGUAGUCGGUUCGAUUUUUCUUUAUUAAAAUCAAAGGCGUUAGUAUAUUUUUGCUUGAAAACGAUUUAAUUUGAGUUUUUAAUCGUAAAUCGAGUUUGAGUAAUGGAAACUAAUGUCCACAAGAAUAUAUUAUAAUAUAUGAAAAAUUGUAGCUAUGAUGUGAAGCAAAAGUACUAUUGUGCUCAUGAUUUUGUAUAUAAUAUGUUGAGAUUAGGUCCUACUAUUAGAAAAAUUAAAAUUUAAUUCAAAUUUUAACAUCUUGAAAUUCGUUCAAUAUUAAAUACUUAAAAACUUAAUGCCCGCUGUUAACUGAAUCAUCUUUGUAUCAUUAUCCUCUCUAAUCUUUUUUUUUUUGCUUAAAAUAUAUAUAUAUAUUAUAUAACAAAAGAUUUUUAAUANUAUAUUUUUGCUUGAAAACGAUUUAAUCUGAGUUUUUAAUCGUAAAUCGAGUUUGAGUAAUGAAAACUAAUAUCCACAGGAAUAGAUUAUAAUAUAUGAAAAACUGUAGCUAUGAUGUGAAGCAAAAGCACUAUUGUGCUCACGGUUUUGUAUAUAAUAUGUUGAGACUAGGUCUUACUACUAGAAAAAUUAAAGUUUAAUUCAGAUUUUAACAUCUUGAAAUUUUAACACUUUCCGCUUUAUCUUUACUCAUAUCUUGGUGUUUUACUUUCCAAAAUGAAAGUUACCUGCAUCUCAACCUUGCUGCUAUCUGCCCUAAAGACAACCUUACAACCCAUUCAUAUCCAUCUAUUCAUCAAUUUAUGGUCCCAUCACAUGAUAUAUCUAUUAGCAACCGAUAUUCUUCUUUCAGACUUUCCGUAAAAGUUCUUAUUGACAGGAAGAAGUUUAACCUGAAACAGCAACCUGCCUGGCCUUCUUCUGACUCAUUUGAACCUUUAACCUGUUUUCCUGGGCAGUCACCAUCGAUUAUAAGCCUAAAUUACUCUUGUUGUUUCUGUGCUAAAAGAAAUGCUGUUAAUAUCUAGUUCCGGCCAACCUUUGCUGAGCAGUUUGCAACAAUUGUCGUAUACACAUUUAUGUAAAGGUACAUUUUUUCUUGGUCCUUAAUUCAUGUACCAUGUAGUUCUCUCCUGAAUCAUUUUUUUGUCCCAUUUGUAAAUGUUAGGCUAUGAAUUGAAUUGCCUUGUUAAUAAGGAGGCAUUAUCUAUUGAAAUGUUGCUGGCAGCUAUCCUCUAACUUAAGGGUACAGGAGACAAGGUCUUCAUUGGAGUGGUUUGUGUUGGUUUAUCUGAAUCUUUACUACAUAAGUGUCUGGUGAAAUGAAUCCAUAAAAAGAAGCAAAAUCAUUGAGGGGAUUUUUAGUGUGAAUGCGUAGCUUAGGGGUGAUAAUGUUUUAUUUUUUCCUGUUUAAAUGAGAUGGUAAUGUUUUAUUUGGAUGUAUAUAGCAUUAAUCAGAAAAGUUGUGAUAAUGAGCGAUAUUGUAUCUUUUGAGGGUGCUGGUUGUCGGUUAUUUUGAUAGACAAAAUGGAGGUAAUAUUAAGAUUCGGGUGCAUUAAUGAGAUGACUCUGAAAAUUAUCAGGUUAAUGUAGCAUAAGGUUCACAUAAUUUAUAAUGCCAUAAUCAUAAAUAAGCCCUUCACAUGUGAUAAAAUCCUCACUUAAGCCCUUACUGCUUUAUUUGCGUCAAUUGAGUCCCCAACCUAUUAUUUUGAUGUCAAAUGAAUCCAAUUUGAAUGGGAAAUGCUGACAUCGCUAAAGGUGUGACUUAUUCCAACAUACAUAAGUUAAUUGGGGACAUUAGAAAUGUCAGCAUUUCCAUCUAAAUUGGAUUCACUUGACACCAAAUAAUAGGUUGACGGCUCAAUUGACACAAAUAAAAUAAUAAAGGCUUAAGUGAGAAUUUUACCAUAAUCUGAGAGCUUAUUUUUUUAUUAUGCCAUUUAUAAUUUACAAGAAGCAUUCUAGUCUGAAGUAUGUUUCAUUUUAAUUGUUGCUUCUAUGCUUUUCCCUUUUCUCUUUUCCUUAGCUAGCUGCAUUUCAUGUUGAUUUUCCCCUGCCCUCCCAAAAGUCAAUAUCUGUUUGAUGUUUCCAUUCAUGCAUCUAUAUGUGCUUUGGAUCUGGAUUGGUUCCAAUGACCAUGCAUGGAAGUUAGUUCCAUGCUGAUGUUACCAAAUGAAUGCUUAAUAUGUAGAAAGUAAGGAAUGAUGUUGAAAAGCAAAAGGAUCUUGUGAAGACAUAACUAGUAUCAAACAUAGAAAAAUGAACAGCACCUUCUGACACAUUGUUAAUUACGUGUUUUGUCAAGGACCUCACCCUCUAAUCAUACCCAUGGAUGAGACAUAUCCAGGUCACUGUCUGAUUGAUCAAUUGCAGCUGGCUGCUGCCUUUUAGCUUCUCUGUGGGUGCAUGUGUUAACAAGUGUGUGCAUAUUGAUGUUAGUUUUAAAGCUGUUGAUUAUAUGCAUAAUGGAUUACAUUUAGAAAAGAAAACGGAGAGAAGGUUAUUUUUUUUAUCUAAGCAUGUUGGUUUUGAUCAUAGAUCUGGAUGCUGACUUCUGGUUUGAAUUUGUUGAAUGUGGCUUUAAUAGGAAAUGAAUGCUUAUUGCCAUAAAUCCUGAUUUCUUUAAUCGUUCUCAUAUACUCAUUUUGUUAAAUACAUUUGGUGCUGCAGCCUACCGUGUAGUAGCAGUUGAAUCUGCUGGCAGGCAAGUUCCAAUUGCAUUUCUGGAACGAGUCAAGGAAGACUUCAACAAGAGAUAUGGUGGAGGAAAGCUGCAACAGCUACCGCGAAUAGCCAAAAUAGAGAAUUUGGGUAUUUAGCUGUCUUUAUUUUUCUUGUAGAUUUAUUGUUUACUUCUUCGUGACAUGCUUAGCUCUUUAUACAUAAUAGGUCCAAAUUGAAGGAGCAUAUGCAGUAUUGUGUGGACCAUCCUGAAGAGAUCAGCAAACUUGCUAAAGUGAAGGCUCAAGUUUCUGAAGUCAAGGGUUCUAUGAUGGAAAACAUUGAGAAGGUAAUAGGCUGCUGCUGAUUUUGUAGCUGUUCUAGAGGUAGUUUGGGGAUUAAAACAUGAUAAGAUGCAUAUCCAGCUUCUGCAAGUUGCUAGAUGUGUUAUAAAAUUGAAAGUACUUCAAAUAUAUUGCAUGUGGUGUGUUGUUUUGUUAGUAACAUUUGGCUUUUGCCAGGUCCUUGAUUGUGGCGAGAAAAUUGAGUUGCUGGUGGAUAAAACGGAGAACCUUCGCUCACAGGUUAGUCAUAUUCAAACUGCAUUUUAUGGGUAACUGAAACAUGGACUUAAUUGUGUUUUGGUGAAGCCAUUGCCUUUUCAAAGUUGGUUUUAAAAAUUAUUAGGAUUCUGAUCAGUUUUGGUUUUCUAAUUUAAGUACCGUCUUUUAUGGUUUCUUUAUGCCUUGUAUAUUGGUGCACAAUAUGAUGCAUUUAACUUGAUAUACAUACGAUGCUCAAUAUGAUACAUAUAAUUUGAUAUUGCAUUACAGGCGCAAGACUUUAGGCAGCAGGGAACUAAGAUGAGAAGAAAGAUGUGUCUUCAGAAUAUGAAGAUAGAAUUGAUUGUUUUGGGUAUCCUUAUUGCCCUGAUCCUUAUCAUUGUGCUGUCAGUCUGCCAUGGCUUCAAAUGUUAAUCUAUCUUGGAUUUCCCUGGUACAGCUCUUGCUGCCCUGGUUGUCUUGAUAGAUUGUUUUGUCUUACAUGUUUUUUAAGGGCAUAUAUAUCUCCCUUUUCUAGCCAUUUAGGAUAGGGGGAGGCUUUGUAUCUUGGUUGGCUGUAUAGGUUAUAGUUUGAACUUGUUGCGGUAGAUAAAAAUUUCUGUGGAGGAUUUCUUCUUUAUAUUGUAAUGGGGGAAUACUCGGAUGCCUGCGUAUCAUAUUUGUCCUUUUGAAAUGUUAUUAAUCUGUUUUUCUGUUUCUUUCGCUUAUCAUGUAAAUCCUUGUAUAUGCAUUUCUUUUUUAGAGGUAAGAGGAGACGGUUGGUUUUGUUAAAUUUUUUAAUGCUUAGGAGCCUAUGGUUGCAUGAGUAGCUCGGUGUCUUUACCUUCCGCAGGGAAGGUCUUUAGCUCUAAUGAUUAGAGCGAUGUGUAUGAUCGAUUUUCCCCCGCUCACCUUGAAGUCUUGUUUUGAGGAUCUAAUCUUUCUCCAGAGAGAAAUUUGGGGAACAAGUAAGGGAUGUUGAUGAAGGGUUAUUUUGUUAAAAAACUAAAAUGGUUUGUUAAAAAAUUAGUUUGACUAUGAAACAAAUCGAAUUUUAAUUGACAGUUGGUUCCCUUUCGAUUUUACAUUAUUCAAAUAAAAGGAGUUAGGAUAUUUUUGCUUAAAAACGACCCAAUUUGAGUUCUAAUCGUACAAACUCUUUAAAACAGUAAUAUCGAGUUUUGAGCAAUGAAAAUUAAUGUUCACAUGAACAGAUUAUAAUAUAUGGGAAAUUGUAGCAAUGAUGUGAAGCAGAAGCACUACUGUCUUCACGGGUUUGUACAUCAUAUGUUAAGAUUAGAUGCCACUAAUGGAAAAACUAAGGCUUAACAUAAAUUUUAACAUUUUGGAAUUUUUUCAAUAUUAAAUACCUAAAAGCUUUAUGACCGUUGUUGGCUGGAUCAUCUUUGUCUCAUUAUCAUCUCUGUCUCAUCUUUUUACGUGCUUAAAAUAUAUAUAGAUAUAUAUUAUAUAACAAAGGAUUUUUUUAAUUGGUAUCUAAACUAUAUAUGAUUCUUACCUACCUAUAUACUCCACAUUCAACACCUGUAUCUGGUAUUUUAUCAAGAGUAAAGGGUAUUAUUGAGUUUUUAGUUCUACUCGCCCUUUCUUGCAGAUCCUUUUUCCUUUGUUGAUCCUAUCGACCUUUUCAUGGUCACACCGCCUCGACUCAGGCAUCACAAUCACAAGUCGGUCCUAAUCAAAGAUGCUACUUCCAAGUUCUUCAGCACGGUCAUCAUCCUCUCCGAGAUCAACACGGAUAUGUGAUUUUGGACAUGCUCAAUCACAGAGCUUAACCCGUCUUAUUUGUGCAGCAGCCAACUCAUGGGUAAAUUGCUGAUUGCCUUGGGAUUUGCCAGUGUCUUUCUAAGCUUCUGUCCGUCUUUCUAGGCAUUCAUCCGGUGCAUGGAAGAAAGGUUUGGUAUGAGCAUGGAAUCGGGCCUUUGUCAGCGAAUGGAUUUACGGUCGAAACACCUUGACUCAAUGCAAUGGAGAGUUUCGAUGGUUGCAGUGGAGUUGAAUUAUCCGGUGGACUUUUCUAAGAUUAUGGAAUUCGAAGGGUUUGGAAGACGGGCUAAGGUUACAAGUCAGUCUUCUCAAUCUCAUCAACAUCUUGCUAUGAUGAUCAUUAAUGGUUUUCUGCAGUUUGAAUUGUUACUUUUCUUUCCCGAUAUAUAUUCAAUAUGCAAAAAUGAUUCUCUUUCAUUUCAUAAGUUUAUAUUCCAAUAUAAUUAAACAUAGGUGGGCUCGAGUCACAAUCUACAAAAGUGUAUGAAAAGACAAAUUUUGGAACGUUAUGGCUAUAUUUAAGCUCAGAGCAGUAAAAUUUUUCUUUAUUUUUUCAGAUAAUAUAAAGAAUGGAUUGAAAGAAACAGUUGAAAAUGAUUUGAGUAGUAAUUUUUCUUUGCUUCAGGUAAGUUUACCAAAUGAUUUAUUUCAAUAGAUAUGGGUUCUUCUGUUUUGAACGUAUUUGUUCUCUAAAAGGAUGAUUAGAAUGUACAAAAUACUUUGUGAAUGUAACAACUACUUACAUCAUUUUUAGUCUCAAAAUUCCAUAUUGGGUUAGUUUUCUGAAUUGAGAAGUUCUGCAUCAAUGGAAAAGCUUAUCUUAAAUAAAAAUGGAUGAAUCAUUAGCAGAGGAAACUCAGUUGAGGACUAAAAGUGACCUUGGCAAAAGAAGCUCUGGUUCUUUUUUAAUAAAUACAAAUUGUUACAUAUUUUUCUAUUGCUUCAUAUUAGAAGGAAUCUUUUUGAUAUUGGAUUGUCAUUAUACAAAAAUAAAAAGGGCAAUGGCAUGUUCUUGAUACCUUCUGUAUGAAGUGUGUACUAUUGUUUUUGUGUCAACAAUGCUAUGAAUAUAUAAUUAUUUUUUCAAAUGUAGCAUCAAACUCAAAUUUGUUGUCAUCAUAAAAAUUUCAAAAGUCAAAGGCUUUCCAGAACUUCUUCAAAAGAAUGUAUACUAAGAUUUAACAAUGACUACUUACUUAAUUUGGCAACAACCAAAGACUAAAAAUUAGACUAAUUGUUGAUUAAUUGCUAUAUAGUUGCUGCAAAAGACCUUUUCUGACAGUACUUAUUGCAUCAAUACUUGCAUAAUUUUGUAGUAUUAAUCAAUCUCUAUCUCUUACCUCAGUUCUGUAAAUACAGAAUAUUUUUUAAAAUGUUUGUUAAAUACAAGCAAAGAAUGCACAUUUAAAAUAUAAAGUGCUCUAUAACAGAACAGAGCUUAGAUAUAUAGCCCAUUCAUAGCGAAUCAUGGCAGAAAACACUUUUUAUGGGUAUCAAAAACUUUGCAAAGAACACAAUUUUAAUGGAUUGGUUUUUUUUCGUUGGUCAUCCGUAUUGGGUUAACUCUAGAAAUUUCUUCUUAUAUAUUUUGACAAGCAUUGGCUCAAAAGUUUUGCAGAUUCAUGAUUUAUAUCCAUACCAAAGGGAUGAUAAUUGAUGAUAAGUAUGUUAUCAUGAGAUCAGUAAACAUUAACUAAAGAUCCUUAAAUGGUUCUAGGGACACAAAAAUAGCUAUUAGGUGCUUACCAACCAAAUUACCCAUGGGCAGGAAACAAAUCCCGCCCGCAUUGCUAGGUUUGGGAUUCUGUCUGUACUCAUUUUUAAAUGCUCAAAAAAGUGCUAGACAGUCAUUUAUGCAUACUACUUCUGUUUUUUUGGUUUAAUUGUUUUAGCAUAUGCUUCAAAGGAAACAAAACGGCAUUAGAGCAUGGAGAAUAGUAUCUCUGGGGUAUAAAAUAUAUUUAAUGUUUGCCUAAAUUCCUAUUUAAAUUUAUUAGUUGCACCAGUAUUGUUGGAUGUAGGUUUAUGGUUAUCGGAUGUCCCUGCGGGCUGAACACCUUGGCAAACUGGAGGAUAGUUUUCAAGAACCACAAAGCCUAGAAUGUGUUUUUAAUUGUUCUAAAUUAUGUUUUAUUUUAUAUGUACUUGAAGUUUAUGGCUAGAUGGGAGCAGAAAAAGUCUGUCGGUGGUAAGUUUUUUUUGGUUUGCUCAAGUUUGUUAGGAUCCAUUGUUAAUGCAUGCAUAAAAGUAUGUUCAUUUCUAAUCUUGCAAAUGAUGUGUUUUUCAUAUUCUAGGAGGAAAAAAGAAGGAAGUGAAGGAGACUGGUUUGGGUCUCUCUUUUACUAAGGAUGAAAAUUUCAAAGAAUGGUACUUUGAGGUACAUUUUGUUGCAAUGGUACAAUUGCUUGUGAUUGUUAUACUACUUUAUCAGGAUCUUAGUAUUUUAUGAUUAUAUCAUACAUUUUGGCUUUUGUAAGUUGCUGUCAACGAUGAAAUGAUUGAGUACAAUGACAUUUUUAGCUAUUAUAUUCUGAGGCCGUGGGCAAUUUCAAGUGGGAGAUUAAGUCAUAUAAUAUUUAUAUUCAUUGCAGUUUAAGUACUAAAUAGCAAGUGUUAAUUAAUUACAAGGGAAAAAAUGGCCACGGAUGCCAUUCCUUGGUUUUUUUUUCUUUACCUUUCUUUUAACUCAUUUGUGAUGUUAAAUUGCACACAUUCUUUGACGUGGAAAUCAAGAAAACGAAAGUCAAGAACUACUAUUUCCCUUUCUUUGUAUCUCCAAGUGUUUUGCAAAAAGAGAAAGAUCACAUUGAGGGUUUUGCUCCAGAGAUGAGAACUAAGGUUUUGGGCACAAUUGGCCUUGUGGAAUGUGCUUCAGCUUGGAAUUGUUAAUUUAUAUUUUUACGAAAUUUCUUGAAGCCAUUUGAAUCUCAUUUUGUCCCUAAAGAAGCAAGACUAUUCACCAAGAAGCAGUAGACUUUUAACUCAUAUCAUUCUUUGGUCUCAGAGAUUUGUCACUAAGAAAGAUCUGCCUUGAUGUGUCAAUAAAGUUGGUAACAAAAUUUUCACUAAUUUUCCAAUAAAUGUUUAUAUUUUUUAUUUUUGCCUUUUAAACUAUAUAUAACUUAACACAAUUUGUGUAACUAUUUAUACAUUAUUGUGUAUUAUUUUUAUCAUAACAAAGUCUGUUUAACUAUUUAUUCAUUACUACGUAUUAUUUUUACCAUAACAUAAUCAAUCCUUUUACAUUCGCAUCAUAACAAAUACAUCAUUAUAUUUCUUUUUCUGUAACUAAUUUAUAACAAUAAUAAUCUUAAAAAUUAUUAAAAUUAAUAAACAAUUCUUGAUUCUACUAAUUUAAAUUUUUUAUACAAAACUUUUAACAUCAAUUGUUCAUAAAAUUUACAAAUCUGUCGUGUAUAGUCUGUAUUUUUCUAAUUUUAUAAAUGAAAAUAAAAAACUACAAAAGUAGUAUGUUAUAACGAUUAAAUACCUUUAAUUAUAAUUAUUCUCAAUCAUAAUUUCUUAUUGCAAUGAAUACCAAAUUGAAUUUUGGUUCAAGAAAGAUAAGAUGCAUUUUGAGUAGAAAUUUUAAAUUCAAAUCAUAGAGUUCAUCACGAGAAAAAGAAAAAAAAAAAAUUUUAAAAAUUUUGAGAGAAAAUGACGUCGUUUGUUGUUAGUCACUUGAAAUGAGUGAAAUGACGUCGUUCCUUCUUAAUGCUUAUUUCCCUCCUGCCACACGGUGUCGUUUUAGCAAGUGAUAAAACCAUCCCUUGAAACCCUGGCCUGUUUCUUUUUCUUCCUCGUCUGGCUAGGACUCUAACCGAGCCGCACCACCUCUCUCCCACGAUGGUUCCUGGGUUUCUCUCCCGGCCUUCCUUUUCACUUGCCUUAGCUUGUUUUAGACGCCAACCAAACGAAAUAGCGUCUUUUCAACGCCAAAUUGCCCAACACUAUAAAAACCGUUCCCUUUACUCACAAAAUCUUAGAUCUCAGAUUUCAGAUAUCAAAUCUCAGAUCGUUUCUUACUCUCUUUGAAGAAAUUGUGUUGCGAUGGCUGAUUUUCGUCUUCAAGACCUUUGUCAACCUCAACUCACACAAAUCGCUGCUGAAAAUACCAAAGCAGUUGCAGAAGAAUACUUUAAGUUGGGAAAUAUCAACAAGGCCAUCCAAUAAGGAUUCGCAGCACUUGAUUUGAACCCUGAGUUACGAAUGGUCCAAAAAUGCACUGCAGCUUAUCUUGUUCACAAGUUUGAUUUGAUGCUAUGCUUUUGCCAGAAGAUGAAGAUGGACGAUACUGAAGUCCUAUAUUCGAUUCUUUUUAUCGAAGAUUGUUCUGCCGUAGUUGAUGCUGCGACUAUUAGAAAACACUACAAGGAAGUGGUACUAUUGGUCCAUCCGGACAAGAAUGAUUCAGUUGCAGCAGAUGGUGCUUUCAAGAUCGUUCGUCAGGCUUGGGAAACUCUCUUAUCUGAUCACAAAAAAAGAAGAAAGACUCGAUGAGGAUGAAGUUUUUUGGUUUGGAUUAGAUUCAUUUUGAAUGUAUUCAAAUUUUUUUAUGAAUAAUAUGUAGUUAGUUUUUAUUUUGUUCUGAUUUUGUUACUUUUUUUAGAUUCAAUUUGAUUUUGAUUUUUAGUGUCAGUCCAAUUUCAUAAUUGAUCACAAUUAUGAUUAAGCAUUCCAAGUUGAAAUGCUACCAUCAUCAAUCCAUAAUAUAAUAUACAGAGUAAAUUGAAGCAAAUUAUUUGAAGAAUAUUCUGUUGUGGGUUUUUUUAGGGGUGAUAGUUUGUUGAUUAUUCAUUAUCUCAAUGUCAAUUCUUUUUUUUUUGGCNAUACAUCAUUAUAUUUCUUUUUCUGUAACUAAUUUAUAACAAUAAUAAUCUUAAAAAUUAUUAAAAUUAAUAAACAAUUCUUGAUUCUACUAAUUUAAAUUUUUUAUACAAAACUUUUAACAUCAAUUGUUCAUAAAAUUUACAAAUCUGUCGUGUAUAGUCUGUAUUUUUCUAAUUUUAUAAAUGAAAAUAAAAAACUACAAAAGUAGUAUGUUAUAACGAUUAAAUACCUUUAAUUAUAAUUAUUCUCAAUCAUAAUUUCUUAUUGCAAUGAAUACCAAAUUGAAUUUUGGUUCAAGAAAGAUAAGAUGCAUUUUGAGUAGAAAUUUUAAAUUCAAAUCAUAGAGUUCAUCACGUGAAAAAGAAAAAAAAAAUUUUUUGAAUAAUUUUGAGAGAAAAUGACGUCGUUUGUUGUUAGUCACUUGAAAUGAGUGAAAUGACGUCGUUCCUUCUUAAUGCUUAUUUCCCUCCUGCCACACGGUGUCGUUUUAGCAAGUGAUAAAACCAUCCCUUGAAACCCUGGCCUGUUUCUUUUUCUUCCUCGUCUGGCUAGGACUCUAACCGAGCCGCACCACCUCUCUCCCACGAUGGUUCCUGGGUUUCUCUCUCGACCGUCCUUUUCACUUGCCUUAGCUUGUUUUAGACGCCAACCAAACGAAAUAGCGUCUUUUCAACGCCAAAUUGCCCAACACUAUAAAAACCGUUCCCUUUACUCACAAAAUCUUAGAUCUCAGAUUUCAGAUAUCAAAUCUCAGAUCGUUUCUUACUCUCUUUGAAGAAAUUGUGUUGCGAUGGCUGAUUUUCGUCUCCAAGGUCUUUGUCAAUCUCAAUUCACAGAGAUUGCUGCUGAAAGAGCUAAAGUAGCUGCAGAGGAAUAUUUCAAGUCGGGAAACAUCGACAGAGCUAUUCAGCAAGGGUUCGCAGCACUCGAUUUGAACCCCAAUUUACGGAUCGUGCAGAAGUACAUUGCCGCCUAUUUGAUUCACAAGUUUGCUUCUAUGUUAAGUCUUUGCCAGAAAAUGAAGGUAGACGAUACCAAAGUUCUGUACUCCAUUCUUUUUAUCGAAGAUUGUUCUGCCGUAGUUGAUGCUGCGACUAUUAGAAAACACUACAAGGAAGUGGUACUAUUGGUCCAUCCGGACAAGAAUGAUUCAGUUGCAGCAGAUGGUGCUUUCAAGAUCGUUCGUCAGGCUUGGGAAACUCUCUUAUCUGAUCGCAACAAAAGAAGAAAGACUCGAUGAGGAUGAAGUUUUUUGGUUUGGAUUAGAUUCAUUUUGAUAUGUAUUCAAAUUUUUUAUGAAUAACAUGUAGUUAGUUUUUAUUUUGUUCUGAUUUGGUUACUUUGUUGAGAUUCAAUUUGAUUUUGAUUUUUAGUGUCAGUCCAAUUUCAUAAUUGAUCACAAUUAUGAUUAAGCAUUCCAAGUUAAAAUGCUACCAUCAUCAAUCCAUAAUAUAAUAUACAGAGUAAAUUGAAGCAAAUUAUUUGAAGAAUAUUCUGAUGUGGGUUUUUUAGGCAAUGAACGUUUUCUUUAAGCUUUCAGAUUUUAUUUUGUUAAAAUAAAUUUCUUUGUGUUAUAUAUUUUGUAAGUCUCUUUCGUUAGCUUGAAAUUGAAUUCUGGGUUCAAGAGGUUAUUGUAUUAAGUAACUAUGUGUUUUGCUUGCUUCAGUGUUUGUAUCGGUGCUGCAGUUAUUCACUUUCCUUCUGAUUUGAUACAAUCAAACUAAAAAAAAGAAGGAAAAAAAUUUUUUUUCACAAAAGUUACUAUAAUAUUUUUCUUUUUAUGGGUGAUAGUUUGUUGAUUAUUCAUUAUUUCAGUGUCAAUUCUUUAUUUUUGGCUUAAGUUAAACAGGCAUUGAAAAACCAAUACUUGCUUGCAAAAGAAGAACCAUAUCAGUUCUACGUGCCUUUUGAUUCUUCAAUUGUUAUCAAAUGCUUGCUCAUGUUGUCCAGAUGUUCCCAAAUGAUGUUUCCUUGGGCGAUAUCAUUGACGCUGCAAAGUCUUUCAGGUUUGUUAUUCGGUUUUUCUCACUUAGAGGUUGAAUCACAAUUUAUCAUAUGUUUAUUUUUGCAUAAGUGUGCAUGUGUAGUAGUAUAAGGCUGUUAAAGGGAAUAUAAUUUGUCAGUUUUUAUACAUAGCAAACCCUAAGUGUGAUUUCUUGGAAAAGCAGAAGUCCAAUAAUGGACUAUACACGUUCCUCUUUUAUCAUUACUCAUAUCUUAGCCUAAAUUACUCUUGUUGUUUCUGUGCUAAAAGUAAUGCUGCUAAUAUCUAGUUCUGGCCAACUUUUGCUGAGCUGUUUGCAAUAAUUGUUGUAUACGCAUUUAUGUAAAGGUACAUUUUUUCUUGGGCCUUAAUUCACUUACCAUGUAGUUCUCUCCUGAAUCAUGUUUCUGUCCCAUUUAUAAAUGUUAGGCUAUGAUUUGAAUUGCCUUGUUAAGGAAGCAUUAUCUAUUGAAAUGUUGCUGGCAGCUAUCCUCUAACUUAAGGGUGCAGGAGACACGGUCUUCAUUGGAGUGGUUUGUGGGAAAAGUACAAGACAUGAUUAUCUAAAUACUUUGAGACGAUCUAUAGUGAAGGGUUCAAAUGAAUCAAGGUGAGAGGUUUAAAGAAGCUGAUCAGUUUUGCACUUCAUUGCCUUUGUCAUAUAAAAGUUUUAAUCUCUAUUCACCCACCAAAAAGGAGGAAUAGGAAAGAGAAUUGCAAAAGUGGAAGCUUUUUUACAUUUGCAUAAUGCCUGAUGCAGGCAUACGUUUAAGUACUUAGAGAGAGAUGAGACAAUGGUAGCUCACUUGGUGGGGGAAUUGAUGCAUUCAUAAAGCUGUCUCAAAGUUAGCUGCUAUCAAAAUCUCUAUUCAAUGUUGUAUAUACUUUCUAAAAUUUGAAGUCUAUGUUCCAAAUUCUGAGGAAAUCAUUGGUAGAGAUAUCACCGGGAUCGGAUCUCGGUACAAUAUACAUCUCAACACCUGUGGAGAAAUGUUAGUUAUGUUUCUGUUAGUAGCUUUUGUACUAGUGUAAUUUUUAUUACAAAAAUCAGUCAUGUAGGGUGCCUAGUGAUUUGAUUAUGAUAAUUGAUUUCCACGGUAAGAUGUACAAGUUUGGGUACUCCAGGACCAGAUCUCCAUUGCAGUGAUGUGGAAAGUUCAAGGAAAACGUUGUCAAGGGUCAUAAAUAUUGUGAAAGAAUUAACUCUAGCAUUUGUUUUUAAUUUACACUAGAUCUUCUGUCUGCUCGUGAGUAACGGGUUUUGCUUGUUUUCAUGACUUUUUCUUUAAAUUUAUCAUCACUAUUCACAAUGAUAUAUAUGAAUGAUAAUUAAAGAUAUAUUAAAAGAUAAUGACAAGAAAGUAUUGAGUUGUUCAGCUUUAAUUAUUUGGCACAGGCAAUGAGUCAAUGAGGGCAAAUGCUAUUGGCAGUUGUGUUGUGCUCAACCAUGGAGGAGGUUGCGCGGUAGACAAGAUGCUCAUGGAGUUUGCUUCACCGUCAAUAAUCCAUAUGAUACUUCUAUUUGUUGUUAUCCUCGUUAAUUCAUUUUUAAUUUUAUUAUUAUUUAUCUUUUUAAAAAUUGAUUUUACUAGAAUUCUGAUCAAUUUUGCUUUUCUAAUUUAAAUACUGUCUUUUAUGGUUUCUUUAUGCCUUGUAUAUUGGUGCACAGUAUGAUGCAUUUAACUUGAUAUACAUAAGAUGCACAAUAUGAUACAUUUAAUUUGAUAUUGCAUUACAGGUAGAAGACUUUAGGCAGCAGGGAACUAAGAUGAGAAGAAAGAUGUGGCUUCAGAAUAUGAAGAUAAAAUUGAUUGUUUUGGGUAUCCUUAUUGCCCUGAUUCUUAUCAUUGUGCUGUCAGUCUGCCACGGCUUCAAAUGUUAAUCUGUCUUGGAUUUCCCUCGUACCGCUCUUGCUGCCAGGGAUGUCUUGAUAGAUUGGUUUGUCUUACUUGUUUUUUUAGGGCAUAUAUUUCUCCCUUUGCUUGCGGUUUAGGAUAGGGGGAGGCUUUGUAUCUUGGUUGGCUGUAUAGGUUAUAGUUUGAACUUGUUACGGUAGAUAAAAAUUUCUAUGGAGGAUUUCUUCUUUAUACUGUGAUGGGGGUAUACUCGGAUUCCUGCAUAUCAUAUUUGUCCUUUUGAAAUGUUAUUAAUCUGUUUUUUUGGUUUUUGUCGCUUAUCAUGUAAAUCCUUUUGUAUGCAUUUCUCUUUUAGACGUAAGAGGAGACAGUUGGUUUUGUAAAAUUUUUUAAUGCUUAGGAGCCUAUGGUUGCAUGAGUAGCUCGGUGUCUUUGCCUUCCGCAGAGAAGGUCUUCAGCUCUAAUGAUUAGAGCGAUGUGUAUGAUUGAUUUUCCCCGCUCCCCUUGAAGUCUUGUUUUGAGGAUCUAUUCUUUCUCCAGAGAGAAAUUUGGGGAAUAAGUAAAGAAUUUUGAUGAAGGGUUGUUUUGUCAAAAAAUAAAAAACUAGUUUGACUACGAAACAAAUCGAAUUUUAUACGGUAGUUGGUUCUUUUUCGAUUUUACAUUAUUCCAAUAAAAGGAGUUAGCAUAUUUUUGCUUGAAAACAAUCCAAUUUGAGUUUCUAACCUUAAAUCGAGUUUGAGCAAUGAAAAUUAAUGUCUACAUGAACAGAUUAUAAUAUGUGAACAACUGUAGCAAUGAUGUGUUUUGUGCAUAAUAUGUUGAGAUUAGAUCCCACUAUUAGAAAAACUAAUGUCUAACUCAAAUUUUAACAUUUUGAAAUUCUUUCAAUAUUAAAUACUUGAAAACCUUAUGUCCGUUGUUGGCUGGAUCGUCUUUGUCCCAUUAUCCUCUCUAACCCAUCCUUUUUACGUGUUUUAAAAUUAUAAAUAAUAUAUAUAUAUAUAUUUAUAUAUUGUAAAACAAAAAAAUUAUAAUAAUUAAUAUUUUAUAAAUGAAAAUAAAAGAUUACAAAAGUAAUCUGUUAUAACAAUUAAAUAUCUUUAAUUAUAAUUAUUCUCAAUCAUAAUUUCUUAUUGCAGUCAAUACCCAAUUGAAUUUUGGUUCAAGUAAGAAAGAUAAGAUGCAUUUUGAAUAGAAAUUUUAAAUUCAAAUCAUAGAGAUCAUCACGAAAAAAAGAAAAAAAUAAAAAUUUCGUAUAGUUUACAGAGAAAUCCCAGCAAAGAAUAUGACGUCGUUUAUUUUUAAUCACUUGCAAUGAGUGAAAUGACGUCGUUUCCUUCUUGAAGCUUAUUUCUCUCCUACCACACGGUGUCGUUUUAUCAAGUGAUAAAAGCAUCCCUUGAAACCUCAGCCUGCUUCUUUUUCCCCGCUUGUCUGGCUAGGACUCUUACCGAGCCGCACCACCUCUCUUCCACGAUGGUUCCUGGGUUUCUCUCCCGGCCUUCCGUUCUCGAGCCGCAACUCCUGAUCACUUGCUUUAGCUUACUUUAGACGCUAACCAAACAAGAUAGCUUUUUUUCAACGCCAAAUUGCCCAACACUCUAAAAACCGUUCCCUUAUCUCACAAAUCUUAGAUCUCAGAUUUCAGAUAUCAAAUAUCAGAUCGUUUCUUACUUUCCUUGAAGAAAUUGUGUUGUGAUGGCCGAUUUUCGUCUUCAAGGUAUUUGUCAAUCUCAAUUCACAGAGAUUGCUGCUGAAAGAGCUAAAGUAGCUGCGGAAGAAUAUUUCAAGUUGGGAAACAUCGACAGGGCUAUUCAGCAAGGGUUCGCAGCACUCGAUUUGAACCCCAAUUUACGGAUCGUGCAGAAGUACAUUGCCGCCUAUUUGAUUCACAAGUUUGCUUCUAUGUUAAGUCUUUGCCAGAAAAUGAAGGUAGACGAUACCAAAGUUCUGUACUCCAUUCUUUUUAUCGAAGAUUGUUCUGCCGUAGUUGAUGCUGCGACUAUUAGAAAACACUACAAAGAAGUGGUACUAUUGGUCCAUCCGGACAAGAAUGAUUCAGUUGCAGCAGAUGGUGCUUUCAAGAUCGUUCGUCAGGCUUGGGAAACUCUCUUAUCUGAUCACAACAAAAGAAGAAAGACUCUACGAAGAUGAAGUUCUUUGGUUUGGAUUAGAUUCAUUUUGAUAUGUAUUCAAAUUUUUUAUGAAUAAUAUGUAGUUAGUUUUUAUUUUGUUCUGAUUUUGUUACUUUUCUUAGAUUCAAUUUGAUUUGAUUUUUAGUGUCAGUCCAAUUUCAUAAUUAAUCACAAUUAUGAUUAAGCAUUCCAAGUUAAAAUGCUACCAUCAUCAAUCCAUAAUAUAAUAUACAGAGUAAAUUGAAGCAAAUUAUUUGAAGAACAUUCUGAUGUGGAUUUUUUAGGCAAUGAACAUUUUUUUAAGUUUUUAGAAUUUUUUUGGUUAAUUUUGUUAAAAUAAAUUGCUUUGUGUUAUAUAUUUUGUAAGUCUUUUUUGUUAGUUUGAAAUUGAAUUCUGGGUUCAAUAUGUUAUUGUAUUAAGAAACUAUGUGUUUUGCUUGCUUUAGUGUUUGUAUCGGUGCUGCAGUUGUUCACUUUCCAUACAAUCAAAUUAAAAAAAAAAGGGAAAAAAAUCAAAAUUUUCACAAAAGUUACCGUAAUAUAUUUCUUUUUAGGGGUGAUAGUUUGUUGAUUAUUCAUUAUUUCAAUGUCAAUUCUUUUUUUUUUUGGCUCAAGUUAAACAGGCAUUGAAAAACCAAUACUUGCUUGCAAAAGAAGAACCAUAUUGGUUCUAUGUGUCUUUUGAUUCUUCAAUUGUUAUCAAUUGCUUGCUCAUUUGUCCAGAUGUUCCCAAAUGAUGUUUACUUAGGCGAAAUCAUUGAUGCUGUAAAGUCUUUCAGGUUUGUUAUUCGGUUUUUCUCACUCAGAGGUUGAAUCACAAUUUAUCAUAUGUUUAUUUUGGCAUAAGUGUGCAUGUGUAGUGGUAAUAAGGCUGCUAAAGGGAAUAUAAUUUGUCAGUUUUUAUACAUAGCAAACCCUAAGUGUGAUUUCCUGGAAAAGCAGAAGUCCAAGAAUGGACUAUACACUUUCCUCUUUAUCUUUACUCAUAUCUUAGUGUUUUACUUUCCAAAAUGAAAGUUACCUCCAUCUCAACCUUACUGCUAUCUGCCCUAAAGACAACCUUACAUCCCAUUCAUAUCCAUUUAUUCAUCAAUUUAUGGUCGCAUCACAUGAUUUAUCUAUUAGCAACCAAUAUUCUUCUUUCAGACUUUCAGUCAAAGUUCUUAUUGACAGGAAGAGGUUUAACCUGAAACAGCAACCUGCCUGGCCUUCUUUUGGCUCAUUUGAACCUUUAACCUGUUUUCCUGGGCAGUCACCAUUGAUUAUAAGCCUAAAUUACUCUUGUUGUUUCUGUGCUAAAAGUAAUGCUGCUAAUGUCUAGUUCUGGCCAACUUUUGCUGAGCUGUUUGCAAUAAUUGUCGUAUACACAUUUAUGUAAAGGUACAUUUUUUCUUGGGCCUUAAUUCGCAUACCACGUAGUUCUCUCCUGAAUCAUUUUUUUGUCCCAUUUGUAAAUGUUAGGCUAUGAUUUGAAUUGCCUUGUUAAGGAGGCAUUAUCUAUUGAAAUGUUGCUGGCAGCUAUCCUCUAACUUAAGGGUGCAGGAGACACGGUCUUCAUUGGAGUGGUUGUGUUGGUUUAUCUGAAUCUUUACUGCAUAAGUGUCUGGUGAAAUGAAUCAAUAAAAAGAAGCAAAAUCAUUAAGGGGAUUUUUAGUGUGAAUGUGUAACUUAGGGGUGAUAAUGUUUUAUUUUUUCCUGUUUAAAUGAGAUGAUAAUGUUUUAUUUGAAUGUAUAUAGCAUGAAUCAGAAAAGUUGCGAUAAUGAGGGAUAUUGUAUCGUUUGAGGGUGGUGGUUGUCGGUUAUUUUGAUAGACAAAUGGAGGUAAUAUUUGGAUUCGGGUGCAUUAAUGAGAUGACUCUAAAAAUUAUGAGGUUAAUGUAGCAUAAGGUUCACAUAAUUUAUAAUGCCAUAAUCAUAAAUAAGCCCUUCACAUGUGAUAAAAUCCUCACUUAAGCCCUUAUUGUUUUGUUUGCGUCAAUUGAGUCCCCAACCUAUUAUUUUGAUGUCAAAUGAAUCCAAUUUGAAUGGGAAAUGCUGACAUCGCUAAAGGUGUGACUUAUUCCAACAUACAUGAGUUAAUUGGGGACAUUUGAAAUGUCAGCAUUUCCAUCUAAAUUGGAUUCAGUUGACACCAAAUGAUAGGUUGAUGGCUCGAUUGACACAAAUAAAAUAAUAAAGGCUUAAGUGAGAAUUUUACCAUAAUUUGAGAGCUUAUUUUGUUAUUAUGCCAUUUAUAAUUUACGAGAAGCAUUCUUGUCUGAAGUAUGUUUCAUUUUAAUUGUUACUUCUAUGCUUUUCCCUUUUCUCUUUUCCUUAGCUAGCCGCAUUUCAUGUUGAUUUUUUCCGGCCCUCCCAAAAGUCAAUGUCUGUUUGAUGUUUCCAUUCCUGCAUCUAUAUGUGCUUUGGAUCUGGAUUGGUUCCAAGGACCAUGCAUGGAAGUUAGUUCUAUGCUGAUGUUACCAAAUGAAUGCUUAAUAUGUAGUAAAGAAUGAUGUUGAAAAGCAAAAGGAUCUUGUGAAGACGUAACUAGUAUCAAACAUGGUAAACUGAGCAGCACCUGCCGACACAUUGUUAGUUACGUGUUUUGUCAAGGACCUCACCCUCUAAUCAUACCCAUGGAUGAGGCAUAUCCAGGUCACUGUCUGAUUGAUCAAUUGCAGCUGGCUGCUGCUUUUUAGCUUCUCUGUGGGUGCAUGUGUUAACAAGUGUGUGCAUAUUGAUGUUAGUUUUAAAGCUGUCGAUGAUAUGCAUAAUGGAUUACAUUUAGAAAAGAAAACGGAGAGAAGGUUAUUUUUUUUAUCUAAGCAUGUUGGUUUUGAUCAUAGAUCUGGAUGCUGACUUCUGGUUUGAAUUUGUUGAAUGUGGCUUUAGUAGGAAAUGAAUGCUUAUUGCCGUAAAUCCUGAUUUCUUUAAUUGUUCUCAUACUCAUUUUGUCAAAUACAUUUGGUGCUGCAGCCUACUGUGUAGUAGCAGUUGAAUCUGCUGGCAGGCAAGUUCCAAUUGCAUUUCUGGAACGAGUCAAGGAAGACUUCAACGAGACAUAUGGUGGAGGAAAAGCUGCAACUGCUCCCCCGGAUAGCGUGAAUAGAGAAUUUGGGUAUUUAACUGUCUUUAUUUUUCUCGUAGAUUUAUUGUUCACUUCUUCGUGACAUGCUUAGCUCUUUAUACAUAAUAGGUCCAAAUUGAAGGAGCAUAUGCAGUAUUGUGUGGACCAUCCUGAAGAGAUCAGCAAACUUGCCAAAGUGAAGGCUCAAGUUUCUGAAGUCAAGGGUGUUAUGAUAGAAAACAUUGAGAAGGUAAUAGGCUGCUGCUGAUGUUGUAGCUGUUCUAGAGGUAGUUUGAGGGUUAAAACAUGAUAAGAUGCACAUCCAGCUUCUGCAAGUUGCUAGACGCGUUAUAAAAUUGAAAGCACUUCAGAUAUAUUGCAUGUGGUGUGUUGUUUUGUUAGUAACAUUUGGCUUUGGCCAGGUCCUUGAUCGUGGUGAGAAAAUUGAGUUGCUGGUGGAUAAAACGGAGAACCUUCGCUCACAGGUUAGUCAUAUUCAAACUGCAUUUUAUGGGUAACUGAAACAAUGACUUAAUUGUGUUUUGGUGAAGCCAUUGCCUUUCAAAGUUGGUUUUAAAACUUAUUAGGAUUCUGAUCAAUUUCGGUUUUCUAAUUUAAAUACCGUCUUUUAUGGUUUCUUGAUGCCUUGUAUAUUGGCGCACAGUAUGAUGCAUUUAACUUGAUAUACGUAAGAUGCAGAAUAUGAUACAUUUAAUUUGAUAUUGCAUUACAGGCGCAAGACUUUAGGCAGCAGGGAACUAAGAUGAGACGAAAGAUGUGGCUUCAGAAUAUGAAGAUAAAAUUGAUUGUUUUGGGUAUCCUUAUUGCUCGAUUCUUAUCAUUGUGCUGUCAGUCUGCCAUGGCUUUAAAUGUUAAUCUGUCCUGGAUUUCCCGGGUACAGCUCUUGCUGCCCGGGUUGUCUUGAUAGAUUGGUUUGUCUUACAUGUUUUUGAAGGGCAUAUAUUUCUCCCUUUGCUAGCCUUUUAGGAUAGGGGGAGGCUUUGUAUCUUGGUUGGCUGUAUAGGUUAUAGUUUGAACUUGUUGCGGUAGAUAAAAAUUUCUACGGAGGAUUUCUUCUUUAUAUUGUAAUGGGGGAAUACUCGGAUGCCUGCAUAAUGUUAUUAAUCUGUUUUUUUUUUUUCUCUCUCUCUUAUCAUGUAAAUCCUUUUAUAUGCUUUUCUUUAGAGGUAAGUGGACACAGUUGGUUUUGUUAAAUUUUUUAAUGCUUUGGAGCCUAUGGUUGCAUGAGUAGCUCGGUGUCUUUACCGUCCGCAUGGAAGGUCUUUAGCUCUAAUGAUUAGAGAGAUGUGUAUGAUUGAUUUUCCCCCGCUUACUUUGAAGUCUUGUUUUGAGGAUCUAUUCUUUCUCCAUAGAGAAAUUUGGGGAAUAAGUAAAGAAUGUUGAUGAGGGGUUGUUUUGUUAAAAAAAAGAAAAAAGUUUGUUAAAAAAUUAGUUUUACUAUAAAAACAAAUCGAAUUUUAUUUGACAAUUGGUUCCCUUUCGAUUUUACAUUAUUCAAAUAAAAAGAGUUAGAUUAUUUUUGCUUGAAAACGACUCAAUUUGUGUUUCUAAUGAUACAAACUAUUAAGAACAGUGUAAAUCGAGUUUGAGUAAUGGAAACUAAUGUCCAUAGAACAGAUUAUAAUAUAUAAAAAAUUGUAGCAAUGAUGUGAAGUAGAAGCACUACUGUCUUCGCGGUUUUGUACAUAAUAUGCUAAGAUUAGAUGCCACAAUUGAAAAAAUUAAGGCUUAAUACAAAUUUUAACAUUUUUGAAUUUUUUCAAUAUUAAAUAUCUAAAAACCUGAUGCCUGUUGUUGGCUGGAGCAUCCUUGUCCCAUUAUCUCUUUGACCCACCUGUUUACGUGCUUAAAAUAUAUAUAUAUAUAUAUAUAUAUUAUAUAACAAAGUAAUUUUUUGUAAUUGAUAUUUUAUAAAUAAAAAUAAAAGAUUACAGAAGUAGUUAGGUACAAUAAUUAAAUACUUUUAAUUAUAAUUAUUCUCAAUCAUAAUUUCUUAUUGCAAUCAACACCAAUUUGAAUUUUGGUUCAAAUAAGAAAGAUAAGAUGCAUUUUGAGUAGAAAUUUUAAAUUCAAAUCAUAGAGUUCAUAAAGAGAAAAAGAAAAAAUAAAAAUUUCGUAUAAUUUACAGAGAAAAUGACGUGGUUUAUUGUCAAUGGCUUGAAAUGAGUUACAUGACGUCGUUUCCUUCUUAAUGCUUAUUUCUCUCCCCUCACACGGUGUCGUUUUACCAAGCAAUAAAUGCAUCCCGUGAAACCCUGGCCUGUUUCUUUUUCUUCCUUGUCUGGCUAGGACUCUAACCGAGCCGCACCACAUCUCUUCCACGAUGGUUCCUGGGUUUCUCUCUCGACCGUCCUUUUCACUUGCCUUAGCUUGUUUUAGACGCCAACCAAACGAAAUAGCGUCUUUUCAACGCCAAAUUGCCCAACACUAUAAAAACCGUUCCCUUAUCUCACAAAUCUUAGAUCUCAGAUUUCAGAUAUCAAAUCUCGGAUCGUUUCUUACUCUCUUUGAAGAAAUUGUGUUGCGAUGGCUGAUUUUCGUCUUCAAGGUAUUUUUCAAUCUCAAUUCACAGAGAUUGCUGCUGAAAGAGCUAAAGUAGCUGCAGAGGAAUACUUCAAGUCGGGAAACAUCGACAGGGCUAUUCAGCAAGGGUUCGCAGCACUCGAUUUGAACCCCAAUUUACGGAUCGUGCAGAAGUACAUUGCCGCCUAUUUGAUUCACAAGUUUGCUUCUAUGUUAAGUCUUUGCCAGAAAAUGAAGGUAGACGAUACCAAAGUUCUGUACUCCAUUCUUUUUAUCGAAGAUUGUUCUGCCGUAGUUGAUGCUGCGACUAUUAGAAAACACUACAAGGAAGUGGUACUAUUGGUCCAUCCGGACAAGAAUGAUUCAGUUGCAGCAGAUGGUGCUUUCAAGAUCGUUCGUCAGGCUUGGGAAACUCUCUUAUCUGAUCACAACAAAAGAAGAAAGACUCGAUGAAGAUGAAGUUUUUUGGUUUGGAUUAGAUUCAUUUUGAAUGUAUUCAAAUUUUUUUAUGAAUAAUAUGUAGUUACUUUUUAUUUUGUUCUGAUUUUGUUACUUUUUUUAGAUUCAAUUUGAUUUUGAUUUUUAGUGUCAGUCCAAUUUCAUAAUUGAUCACAAUUAUGAUUAAGCAUUCCAAGUUAAAAUGCUACCAUCAUCAAUCCAUAAUAUAAUAUACAGAGUAAAUUGAAGCAAAUUAUUUGAAGAAUAUUCUGAUGUGGGUUUUUUAGGCAAUGAACUUUUUCUUUAAGAUUUUAGAUUUUUUUUUGUUUAAUUUUGUUAAAAUAAAUUGCUUUGUGUUAUAUAUUUUGUAAGUCUUUUUCGUUAGUUUGAAAUUGAAUUCUGGGUUCAAGAGGUUAUUGUAUUAAGAAACUAUGUGUUUUGCUUGCUUCAGUGUUUGUAUCGGUGCUGCAGUUAUUCACUUUCUUUCUGAUUUGAUACAAUCAAACUAAAAAAAUAAAAUUUUCACAAAAGUUACUAUAAUAUAUUUCUUUUUAUGGGUGAUAGUUUGCUGAUUAUUCAUUCUGUCAAUGUCAGUUCUUUUUUGGCUCAAGUUAAACAGGCAUUGAAAAACCAAUACUUGCUUGCAAAGAACCACAUUGAUUCUACGUGUCUUUUGAUUCUUCAAUUGUUAUCAAAUGCUUGCUCAUUUUGUCUAGAUGUUCCCAAAUGAUGUUUACUUGGGCGAUAUCAUUGAUGCUGCAAAGUCUUUCAGGUUUGUUAUUCGGUUUUUCUCACUUAGAGGUUGAAUCACAAUUUAUCAUAUGUUUAUUUUUGCAUAAGUGUGCAUGUGUAGUAGUAUAAGGCUGUUAAAGGGAAUAUAAUUUGUCAGUUUUUAUACAUAGCAAACCCUGAGUGUGAUUUCUUGGAAAAGCAAAAGUCCAAUAAUGGACUAUACACGUUCCUCUUUUAUCAUUACUCAUAUCUUAGCCUAAAUUACUCUUGUUGUUUCUGUGCUAAAAGUAAUGCUGCUAAUAUCUAGUUCUGGCCAACUUUUGCUGAGCUGUUUGCAAUAAUUGUUGUAUACACAUUUAUGUAAAGGUACAUUUUUUCUUGGUCCUUAAUUCAUGUACCAUGUAGUUCUCUCCUGAAUCAUUUUUUUGUCCCAUUUGUAAAUGUUAGGCUAUGAUUUGAAUUGCCUUGUUAAGGAAGCAUUAUCUAUUGAAAUGUUGCUGGCAGCUAUCCUCUAACUUAAGGGUGCAGGAGACACGGUCUUCAUUGGAGUGGUUUGUGGGAAAAGUACAAGACAUGAUUACCUAAAUACUUUGAGACGAUCUAUAGUGAAGAGUACAAAUAAAUCAAGGUGAUAGGUUUAAAGAAGCUGAUCAGUUUUGCACUUCAUUGCCUUUGUCAUAUAAAAGUUUUAAUCUCUAUUCACCCACCAAAAAGGAGGAAUAGGAAAGAAAAUUGCAAAAGUGGAAGCUUUUUUACAUUUGCAUAAUGCCUGAUGCACGCAUACGUUUAAGCACUUAGAGAGAGAUGAGACAAUGGUAGCUCACUUGGUGGGGGAAUUGAUGCAUUCAUAAAGCUGUCUCAAAGUUAGCUGCUAUUAAAAUCUCUAUUCAAUGUUCUAUAUACUUACUAAAAUUUGAAGUCUAUGUUCCAAAUUCUGAGGAAAUCAUUGGUAGAGAUAUCACCUGGAUCGGAUCCUGGUACAAAUACAUCUCAACACCUGUGGAGAAAUGUUAGUUAUGUUUCUGUUAGUAGCUUUUGUACUAGUGUAAUUUUCAUUACAUAAAUCAGUCAUGUAGGGUGCCUAGUGAUUUGAUUAUGAUAAUUGAUUUCCACGGUAAGAUGUACAAGUUUGGGUACUCCAGGACCAGAUCUCCAUUGCAGUGAUGUGCAAAGUUCAAGGAAAACUUUGUCAAGGGUCAUAAAUAUUGUGAAAGGGUUAACUCUAGCAUUUGUUUUUAAUUUACACUAGAUCUUCUGUCUGCUCGUGAGUAACGGGUUUUGCUUGUUUUCAUGACUUUUUCUUUAAAUUUAUCAUCACUAUUCACCAUGAUAUAGAUGAAUGAUAAUUAAAGAUAUAUUAAAAGAUAAUGACAAGAAAAUAUUGAGUUGUUCAGCUUUAAUUAUUUGGCACAGGCAAUGAGUCAAUGAGGGCAAAUGCUAUUGGCAGUUGUGUUGUGCUCAACCAUGGAGGAGGUUGCGCGGUAGACAAGAUGCUCAUGGAGUUUGCUUCACUGUCAAUAAUCCCUAUGAUACUUCUAUUUGUUGUUAUCCUCAUUAAUUCAUUUUUAAUUUUAUUAUUAUUUAUCUUUUUAAAAAUUGAUUUUACUAGAAUUCUGAUCAAUUUUGCUUUUCUAAUUUAAAUACUGUCUUUUAUGGUUUCUUUAUGCCUUGUAUAUUGGUGCACAAUAUGAUGCAUUUAACUUGAUAUACAUAAGAUGCACAAUAUGAUACAUUUAAUUUGAUAUUGCAUUACAGGUACAAGACUUUAGGCAGCAGGGAACUAAGAUGAGAAGAAAGAUGUGGCUUCAGAAUAUGAAGAUAAAAUUGAUUGUUUUGGGUAUCCUUAUUGCCCUGAUUCUUAUCAUUGUGCUGUCAGUCUGCCAUGGCUUCAAAUGUUAAUCUGUCUUGGAUUUCCCUUGUACCGCUCUUGCUGCCUGGGUUGUCUUGAUAGAUUGGUUUGUCUUACUUGUUUUUUUAGGGCAUAUAUUUCUCCCUUUGCUAGCCUUUUAGGAUAGGGGGAGGCUUUGUAUCUUGGUUGGCUGUAUAGGUUAUAGUUUGAACUUGUUACGGUAGAUAAAAAUUUCUAUGGAGGAUUUCUUCUUUAUAUUGUAAUGGGGGAUUACUCGGAUGCCUGCAUAUCAUAUUUGUCCUUUUGAAAUGUUAUUAAUCUGUUUUUUUGUUUUUCU